rnacentral:rRNA from 1 species
GACGAACGCUGGCGGCGUGCUUAACACAUGCAAGUCGAACGGAAAGGCCCCUUUGGGGGUACUCGAGUGGCGAACGGGUGAGUAACACGUGAGUAACCUGCCCUUGACUUCGGGAUAACUUCAGGAAACUGGGGCUAAUACCGGAUAGGAAUCCUUGCUGCAUGGUGGGGGUUGGAAAGCUUCGGCGGUUUUGGAUGGACUCGCGGCUUAUCAGCUUGUUGGUGGGGUAGUGGCUUACCAAGGCUUUGACGGGUAGCCGGCCUGAGAGGGCGACCGGCCACAUUGGGACUGAGAUACGGCCCAGACUCCUACGGGAGGCAGCAGUGGGGAAGAUUGCACAAUGGGCGGAAGCCUGAUGCAGCAACGCCGCGUGCGGGAUGACGGCCUUCGGGUUGUAAACCGCGUUCAGCAGGGGCGAAGCUUGUGGUGACGGUACCUGCAGAAGAAGCACCGGCUAACUACGUG